rnacentral:rRNA from 1 species
UUGGGCGUAAGCGAGCGCAGGCGGUUUCUUAAGUCUGAUGUGAAAGCCUUCGGCUUAACCGGAGAAGUGCAUCGGAAACUGGGAGACUUGAGUGUAGAAGAGGACAGUGGAACUCCAUGUGUAGCGGUGAAAUGGGUAGAUAUAUGGAAGAACACCAGUGGCGAAGGCGGCUGUCUGGUCUGUAACUGACGCUGAGGCUCGAAAGCAUGGGUAGCGAACAGGAUUAGAUACCCUGGUAGUCCAUGCCGUAAACGAUGAAUACUAGGUGUUGGAGGGUUUCCGCCCUUCAGUGCCGCAGCUAACGCAUUAAGUAUUCCGCCUGGGGAGUACGACCGCAAGGUUGAAACUCAAAGGAAUUGACGGGGGCCCGCACAAGCGGUGGAGCAUGUGGUUUAAUUCGAAGCUACGCGAAGAACCUUACCAGGUCUUGACAUACUGUGCUAACCUAAGAGAUUAGGUGUUCCCUUCGGGGACGCAGAUACAGGUGGUGCAUGGCUGUCGUCAGCUCGUGUCGUGAGAUGUUGGGUUAAGUCCCGCAACGAGCGCAACCCUUAUUGUCAGUUGCCAGCAUUCAGUUGGGCACUCUGGCGAGACUGCCGGUGACAAACCGGAGGAAGGUGGGGAUGACGUCAAGUCAUCAUGCCCCUUAUGACCUGGGCUAC